GAUUAUUCAGCCUCAUUCUCAAACCAAAAUACUCAGGAGGUGGAUGAAUCUGGCUCCCCAUCUUCUGAAGCUGAGAAGCUGUUUACUCCUUGCUUGUCAUCCCAUUCACCAACAUUCUGCAAUUCAGAUUCAGGUUCAGAUCUCUUCUGCAACCCUGCUCCGUUAUGUCUCUUGUGUUCUGAAACAAUUGUUAAUGAUAAUACCCAUCAAAGAUUUCAUGGAGUAAUAUGAUGAGCAAAAAAGGGUAUUAAGAAUAGUUACUUUUAUUGUUAAUCGCACUGCGAGUAAUUGCCAAAAAUUCAUCCCAUUUGUAUUUUCUAAGUUCUUGCUUCUCCUCCUCAGAAAGCUCAAAGUUUGGUUCCCUCCCACACAUGAAGGCAGCCCUGCAGAUGCAAAACCUUUUCGGUGAGUUUUAGAAGUUUGUUUAGGCGAACCUCACAAGGUCUGUUUUCCCUGGAGAUGAUGAUGAAGAUGACAUAUUUCCAGAUAUGAUGUUCAAAUAAAACAUCUUAAACAAGGGGAAAUAAAAAAAUCUUCCUCUUGUUUUAUUAGCUUUUUUUUUUUUAAAAAUGCAUGGAAAACCAGCACAAACAUGAGAUACAAG
rnacentral:lncRNA from 1 species